rnacentral:rRNA from 1 species
UACGGAGGGUGCAAGCGUUAUCCGGAUUUACUGGGUUUAAAGGGUGCGUAGGUGGACAGGAAAGUCAGUGGUGAAAUCUUCGAGCUUAACUCGGAAACUGCCAUUGAUACUAUUUGUCUUGAAUACUUUGGAGGUAAGCGGAAUAUGUCAUGUAGCGGUGAAAUGCUUAGAUAUCGUCAAGAACACCGAUAGCGAAGGCAGCUUACUAGACUGUAACUGACGCUGAUGCACGAAAGUGUGGGGAUCAAACAGG